rnacentral:rRNA from 1 species
CCUACGGGAGGCAGCAGUGGGGGAUAUUGCACAAUGGGGGGAACCCUGAUGCAGCGACGCCGCGUGGGUGAAGGAGUGCUUCGGCAUGUAAAGCUCUAUCGGCAGGGAAGAAGCAAGACGGUACCUGACUAAGAAGCCCCGGCUAACUACGUGCCAGCAGCCGCGGUAAUACGUAGGGGGCGAGCGUUAUCCGGAUUCACUGGGUGUAAAGGGAGCGUAGACGGCCAUGCAAGCCAGGGGUGAAAGCCCGGGGCUCAACCCCGGGACUGCGCUUGGAACUGCAUGGCUAGAGUGCGGGAGGGGCAGGCGGAAUUCCUAGUGUAGCGGUGAAAUGCGUAGAUAUCAGGAGGAACACCAGCGGCGAAGGCGGCCUACUGGACAGCAACUGACGUUGAGGCUCGAAAGCGUGGGGAGCGAACAGGAUUAGAUACCCGUGUAGUC